GGCGAUGUGGAGCGUGGGCAGCAAGGGGACGUGGCCUAAUAGAGAGGACAGGGACCCUGUCACACACACAGCCACACUCUGCGAUGCGUCCCGGAGCCGGGACAGCUGUUGACCUCGGGAGGAUGGCCACAGUACCGGCGGGAAUUCUCUGAAGAAUGGUGCGGAGGAGGCAGGGAAUCGCCCCUUCCUUCUCUAACCCUGCUUCUUCACUCCUGACUGUCAUUGGACAACCACACCCCCUUAGAGUUCUGUCCAUUUAAAAGUAGAACAGCUGUCCCAAAGAAUUCGGGUGCUGGGGGUGUUGCAGUUGCAGAAACCGAGGAGCCUGUAUCUGGGUCUCACUCAGACCUGCAUUGUUGAUCUUCCCCGGAAAGAUUCACAGCCACUCCCAGAGCAGAAGAGUCUUGCUACAAUAUGGUGAGAAGUCAAGAAAUCUCUGGUGGGAAGCUGCCUUGCACCCUACACAUAAUCUGCCCCUGCAUAUCCUUCAGAAAGGUUACUGUUCUCAGCCUGCAUUGGCAUCUACAGUGAACCAAAGUUCAUCCCACCCACCUUCCCUUCUGGGCCCUGGUGAAGAAAGUGAAGCUCAAGGAGGAUAAGUGCUUUCCUGCCAGUUCACACAACUAGCAACUGGAGAACUAGAUUGAAAAUCUGGGGACUACACUCUGCACAGGACCUCUGAGCUCCUGCACGUUCUGCAGGUGAAGGCUUCCUGCAAGCUCCCUGCUUGGGUCCACUCUGGAGAUUGAAUGUUUAAAGGAAACCCAGGAUUUGGUUUCAUCAGGAAUUAGCUAACACUGGGAGGGGCCACCCUUCUACUUCAGCAAGAUGUCAGAUAUCAAAGAAUCAGAUACAGAAACUGGAAAACAUGGUUACUGCAAUGAGGUUUCUGGACAGCUUCAGCCUCUGGAGCUUCUGCAGGCCAAAUGCCAGUGAGGCUCAGAGUGGGGAGCAAAUGGAGAAGGUGACACCUUUCCCUAUAGACUGUGGGCUCCAGUCUGUCAGCAAACAACCUAUUCAUUUGUUUUGUAUCUGUUUUCAUUCAGUGACGUUUAUAACAUUCUAAAUUGUCAGUUUAAGUGUAGUUUCACUACUGGGGAUUGUUUUUAGGUAAUCACCAGGGGUCUGAUUUUAAAUCACAUUCUAUUACAAUUGCAUGACAAAGUGAGAUGUCAAUUGUUUUAAUGUUUUCUCAUUUAUUGUUCUUUAGCUACACAAGAAUCUUAAGGAGCUACAAAAAUUGGUGGAUAUAUUGCCAUCAAUUAAGCAUAAGGACACCAUAGUGGAAUUUGGGUCAUUCGACCCUUCCUGCCUGAUGCCCACCUGCCCGGAUUACUGGACCUACUCAGGAUCCCUGACUACUCCACCACUCUCCGAGUCCGUCACCUGGAUCAUUAAGAAGCAGCCUGUAGAGGUUGAUCAUGAUCAGGUACAUUCUUUCCACAUUUCUGUAUAAGGAAAGUCUAGUUUUCCUCUUCAAAACAAGCCUGGGCUCAAACUUUGGGAUCAGUUUUUAACUUAUAAUGCUUAUACAUUUUUAUUAAAAUGUGCUAACUUCUUGUCUAAUUUGGGUAUGAAUUAGAAAGCUUUAGUGAACCAGGGAAAGGUGUUAAAACAUAGAACAUAGGCUUUUUGCUUUCAUUCUUGACAGUGACCUAUAUUUUGCUGUAUACACAUUGGGUAGAGUCUCUAUAAAAAUUAAAACUCUUUUAAAUGAGAAAAAAUGAAGGCUGGAAAUAGCUGUUUAAAACGUUUUAGUUAAGUAAAUUUUACUAAGGAAUCUUAGAGUAGAGACAGAAUCCAGUAAAGCCUAAAUAGAAAUUUUAUUCUAAGUUGGGAGUUUAGACUUGGUAUUUGUUUCUCCUUUAGAAAUUAAGUGUAUUGUAUCAACAUACAAAAUCCUGUUUAAUAAAUUAACUAAACUAUAAUAACUGUUUUUACUUGUUUACAUUGGAUUUUUAUUGAUUUUUUUUUCAUAACAAAAUCUUCCAAAUUCUUUUUUUCAAGGCCAUGUAACAAUGAAACUAAAACACACUAAAUGUUGGGAUGCCCCC